rnacentral:lncRNA from 10 species
AGGGGGUCCACGUGAGAGGGUCAUGAUCGAUUGAGCAAGCAGGGGGUACGUGACUGGGGACUGCAUGCACCAGUAAUCAGAACGAAACAGCACAGGACAGGGAUUUUUACAAUGCUCUUCCAUACAAUGUCUGGAAUCUAUAGAUAACAUAACCGGUUAGGUCAGAGGUCGAUCUUUAACUGCCAGGCCCAGGGCGUAGCGCCGGGCUGUCUGCCUGUGGAUUUCAUUUUUGCCUUUUAGUUUUUACUUCUUCUUUCUUUGGAGGCAGAAAUUGGGCAUAAGACAAUAUGAGGGGUGGUUUCCUCCCUUAGAUUGAGGCAGUGCUGAUGAGGCAGAAAGACAGAUUGAGCUGAUUUUUAGGAGAGAAAAUUCAGAAUUGAUAAAGCUAGCUUGGUCUUUGAGUGUAGGAAGAUAAAAAGAAGAAAAAAUAGCACUCUUGUUGUGUAUCUCUUACUUGGAAAAUGUAAUGCUAAGCACAUAAAA